CAGGUGUGUCCUCACGGUCUAGCCCCUAUCAAUAUUGCCUCUGCUUUCACCAUAGUUAACACAGUAGUGCAAUAUUGCUUAUAGGGUCUGGACUCUGAGAAAUG